rnacentral:rRNA from 1 species
GACAGAGGAGCCAAGCGUUGUCCGGAUUGACUGGGCGUAAAGCGCACGCAGGCGGCCGUGCACGUGGGGUGUGAAAGCUGGCGGCUUAACUGCCAGACGCCACCUCAUACGGCACGGCUCGAGCCCGUGAGAGGUCCACGGAAUUGCCGGUGUAGUGGUGAAAUGCGUAGAGAUCAGGAAGAACAUCGGUGGCGAAGGCGCUCUGCUGGACCAUAACUGACACUCAGGGACGAAAGCUAGGGGAGCGAAUGGG